GUCAGUAGCAAGCUAUGUUCCAGUGGGGGCUGGCUGAAGCUAUCUUGGCACAGAGCAAGCUGUCCGCUAAGAGGACACAGCAUCUGAGUGUUGUGCUGGCCAAAAUGCAGGGUAAGAGACAGUUUACGCCAUACGAUUGCAUUAAAAAUUUCCCCAGCUGAAAUUUCAAGCCCUUCCAAACAGGCAUGCCUCAAAGGAAAACUGGAGAUUGGAAAACGUAAUGUAAAAUAUAAGCAAGUUUUACACAGUAUCAUCAUUUUAAAGGAUGUCAACAGUAAUUUACUGUGGGGAUGAAAGACAGAUGUUUAAUGAAACAGUCAGUGAAAAAGAAUGACUCUUGGAAGAGUGGAUAAAACAACGGCAAGAAUGGCAGGUCCUAUUGAUAGAUGGUUUCUAUCAAUAAACAGAUCUGUUUCAAGUGAGCUACAUGGCAGGAAAAAGAGGCAGGAGAGGCCUUGCAAGAGACACAGGAUGAAGGUGGAGCGCAGCUGGAUCAGAUCAAUCACACUUCAUGGUCAAGAAGCUCUCCCCACCAGGCUUCUGCUUGAUGUUUAGUUACCAUAGGCUCCCUGUUUAUUCGGAGUAGAGAAGUAGCUGCCACCCAAGGGCAAUUCAGUUCAUCUGGCUCUGGAAUUAUCUCAGGGAAUACCUCACUUUCCCCUUCGGUUGAUGAAGACUAUGAUGACUGAAUUCCCAGUCAAGGCACACCAUUUGGAAGGAGCUGAGAGAAGGAGGACAGCUCUCCAUACCUGCUGGCUGUUGCCAGCUCCCUGCCUUGGACAGUGGACUGGGAAACACAAGAGUGUGAGCAAUCUGGCAGCUCCUCCUCUGGCUGGGCAGCUAGCUGGAGCAGUUGUCAUAUGCAGUCAUAUUCCCUUGUCUUUGUGCUUAGAAUUAUGGAAAACCUCCAGAGAGGUUCAUCGUUGCAGAAAUCAUCGUGUAGACUUCAGAUACAGCCCGCAGUGUCCGUCACUUGGUGCUUGUCUUGAGGAAAUGCUGCAGAGGAGCCUGUUUGGAUAUCAGCUGGAGAAUUAACCUGGUCAAGUUGGCUCUGCUGAGGUAAUCACAUUAAAUGCUAAGAACGUGGUAUGCGUGACAUCAGUUUUUGGUGCCACUUCUAGAAAGGAAGAGGGAUCUUGCUAAGAUCUUGCAGAGCAGGCUAUGCUGGUUUCUCUGUGGGCCAAGGUGCAGUAAUUACGGUUGCAUGCUAAGGACCUUUUACAGAAUUCUCCUCUGCCGUCCUCUUUCUGUGAAGCAGAUCUGGAAGAAACAGCAUCAUGGAAGCCAGUGGGUUUCAUGUGUACUACACUGCUGGGCAAAGGAUAAGAGGAAGAGUGGUCACUGAUAAAUCAUCUGUGUCAUUAUCACUUAUAUGUAUCUACGUGGGAUGAAAGGAUUAGAGUCAUAAAUAUACUUCCUUCUCUGAUAUCCAAGCCAUGAAAAUGUAGAGAAAAAUGUUUUCUCGGCUGUCAGGGUUUACAGAAGUGGUGAAAAAAGCACCACCACCUCCAAAAGCUUUACUAAAUCCUGCGAGGUAGCAGGAGCAGUGCCCAGGACAUGGCAUGAGGUGCCAACAACAACAACCAGCAUAAACAAGCUCACUGCCAGUGGGUGAGGCUCCUUCAGGGUAGGCCGUAUUACCUCUGCCAUUUACUCAGUGCAGCCAAAUCCCACAGAAGAAAGAAUGGGCCAGGCACACAUUUGUUUCUGACAGAAAGCUGUGCAUCUUUUGUACACAUCAGCUGUGCUAAGCCAUCUCAUUCUGCCAAUGCAUUACUGUUGCACUGGCUGAUCUGAGAUCAGGUUCCUCCCUUUUCCGUCUGCCUGCACCCAUCUCCUUCUGCAACCCUCUGGUGUGUAUAUUCACUCUUUCAUGGCUCUGAUUCAUGAGAGUUUCUCUGUUCUGUUCAGAAGAAUAGUAGUAACUCAUGGCUGCCUUCUGGUUGGCAACUGUAAAGAAAAUCUUUUUGGCGCAUACAGAAAAUUGCAAGUUGUAUUGUCUAUGGAAAAGUCACCCCCACCAAUGUGUAAAAGGUAUUACAAACUCAUGUGGGAGCUAGCAAGUCCUUCCAACAUGCUUUCAGGUCAACUGUUUCCCCUGAGUUUUAUAUCAUUCCAUUCGAUGACAAGGAAAGUUUCUUUCAUUGUGUUCUGUUGUACUUGUAAAACAUAAAAAUGAAAUGUGUAAGCCCACGAAGUUCAUAUAAAUCCUCUUGCUCUGUUUAUUCUAGCUUGCUUCUUGUGUACACUUAUCUAUGGGUAAAAAAAAUCAUCUAAAUUUUUCUUUAUAUUGUAUCUCUGUUUAUUGUCAUAAUGGAAAUUCUCAAAACCACAAGUCACCAGAAGCACCUCAGUUCUGAACUUUUAAGCUAGUAAGUCCUGGAAGCUUUUCUCUCCAGAGCUAUUUCAAAAUGUCAAGAGAAGAAUUAUUCCAUCGCUUUAGCUAUAGCAG
ensembl:lncRNA